ensembl:snoRNA Y24D9A.10 ncRNA
AUUUUUUAUCAGAGUCAUGUACUAUAAGCAAGCCUUGAGCUUUGCACUGACGCAUUUACUCUGAUAGGUGAAGU